AAGAUACUAGUAUAAAAGAAAAUACACUGCUUUGUCAGGGCAGAACUGCGGGUUAAACCCCCGCGUAUUUUA
rnacentral:tRNA from 1 species